UACGUAGGGGGCAAGCGUUAUCCGGAAUCAUUGGGCGUAAAGAGCGUGUAGGCGGUCCGGUAAGUCCGCUGUGAAAGUCGGGGGCUCAACCCUCGAAUGCCGGUGGAUACUGUCGGGCUAGAGUGCGGAAGAGGCGAGUGGAAUUCCUGGUGUAGCGGUGAAAUGCGCAGAUAUCAGGAGGAACACCUAUUGCGAAGGCGGCUCGCUGGGACGUAACUGACGCUGAGACGCGAAAGCGUGGGGAGCAAACAGG
rnacentral:rRNA from 1 species